UGCUAGUAAAAUACUCCUUCUUAGUACUGUAUACUGUAAUUCUGUGUUUCCAUUUGUUUUAGCAGCUGCCAUAAUGUUAUAAUUUUAUACUGUGAUGUCCUUCACUUGGCCUCUGCUGAAACCUGAGCUGUCAUGCUGAGGUGCAGAAGACAAAAGGAACAGAAAAGCAUUGUUGCCAGUGUUAAUUUAGAGUGAAGGGCAAGCCAGGAAUAGGUGUUGAACUGAUAUGUUUGGAAGUAGGAAUCCUUUGCUUUUCUAGAGGUUCCUUUUAAUCAAGGUAUGCAGGAGAAAAGAGCAAUUUCAACUAAGUGGAAAGUCUCAAAAAUGAGGCUCAAUUUAGCAUAUAAAUGAAAAAUUCAUCAAUAAA